rnacentral:rRNA from 1 species
UACGAAGGGGGCUAGCGUUGUUCGGAAUUACUGGGCGUAAAGCGCACGUAGGCGGUUCGUUAUGUCGGAUGUGAAAGCCCUUGGCUUAACCGAGGAAGUGCAUCCGAAACUGGCGAGCUAGAGUACGAAAGAGGAUCGCGGAAUUCCCGGUGUAGAGGUGAAAUGCGUAGAGAUGUGGAGGAACACCAGUGGCGAAGGCGGCUUUCUGGUCUGUAACUGACGCUGAGGCGCGAAAGCGUGGGGAGCAAACAGG